UAGGUUAUCUUAAUUCAACAUCGAGGUGAUAAACUUUUUCUUCGAUAUGAACUCUAGGAAAAUAUUAUCCUGUUAUCCCUAAAGUAGCUUUUAUUUAUUAAUCAUUAUUUCUUUUUUAAGAUAAUAAUGGGUCAUUAUACCCUACUUUGUAACUGUUAAAUUGAUUAAUUAAACAGUAAAUUAAUUUUUUUUUUAUUAAUUUAGUGUGUCUCUGUUUUUUUUUAGAGAUCAUCGCCCCAAUGAAACUAGCCUUUCUUUAUUAAUUUUUUUUUAUAUUUUUUAAUAUAUUUAUAUAAAGAAUUGUAGUUAAGCUUUAUAGGGUCUUUUCGUCUUACAAUAUUACAUAGCAUCUUAACUAUGAAUUAAAUUUUUUUUUUAUUUUAUAAGACAGAGGAAUUUUCGUUUAACCAUUCAUACUAUCCACUAAUUAAGUGGCGAAUUAUUAUGCUACAUUCAUACAGUCAUAGUUACUGCAGCCAUUUAGUUUUUAAUUUUUUCAAUUUAUGAAAAAUUUCUUAUAACCAUUGGGC
rnacentral:rRNA from 1 species